GGCAGACGGGUGAGUAACAUGUAGGUAUCUGCCCUUUGGCCUGGAAUAACACGAGGAAACUUGUGCUAAUACCGGAUAAGUCUUUACGGAGAAAGCUUUAUGCACCAUUGGAUGAGCCUGCACUUGAUUAGUUUGUUGGUGGGGUAAUGGCCUACCAAGACUGUGAUCAAUAGCUGAUUUGAGAGGAUGAUCAGCCACAUUGGGACUGAGACACGGCCCAAACUCCUACGGGAGGCAGCAGUGGGGAAUCUUGCACAAUGGAGGAAACUCUGAUGCAGCGAUGCCGCGUGAGUGAAGAAGGCCCUUGGGUUGUAAAGCUCUUUCGUCGGGGAAGAAAAUGACUGUACCCGAAUAAGAAGGUCCGGCUAACUUCGUGCCAGCAGCCGCGGUAAUACGAAGGGACCUAGCGUAGUUCGGAAUUACUGGGCUUAAAGAGUUCGUAGGUGGUUGAAAAAGUUAGUGGUGAAAUCCCAGAGCUUAACUCUGGAACUGCCAUUAAAACUUUUC
rnacentral:rRNA from 1 species